rnacentral:misc_RNA from 1 species
AAGUCGUAACAAGGUUUCCGUAGGUGAACCUGCGGAAGGAUCAUUGGGGGAGAUUUGAGAGAGCGUUGGAAUGGAGAAUAGACAUUGAUUACAUUACAAUGAUACACAACAACUGCUGACAAUGGAUCUCUGGGCUCUU